GACGAACGCUGGCGGCGUGCCUAAUACAUGCAAGUCGAGCGAAUUUACGAGAGCUUGCUCUCGUAAAUUAGCGGCGGACGGGUGAGUAACACGUGGGCAACCUGCCUAUAAGACUGGGAUAACUUCGGGAAACCGGAGCUAAUACCGGAUAAUUCACAUCUACUCAUGUAGAUGUGCUGAAAGACGGUUUACGCUGUCACUUAUAGAUGGGCCCGCGGCGCAUUAGCUAGUUGGUGAGGUAACGGCUCACCAAGGCCACGAUGCGUAGCCGACCUGAGAGGGUGAUCGGCCACACUGGGACUGAGACACGGCCCAGACUCCUACGGGAGCAGCAGUAGGGAAUCUUCCGCAAUGGACGAAGUCUGACGAGCAACGCCGCGUGAGUGAUGAAGGUUUUCGAUCGUAAAACUCUGUUGUUAGGGAAGAACAAGUACCAGAGUAACUGCUGGUACCUUGACGGUA
rnacentral:rRNA from 1 species